GGUGAGCGGAGCGCUGUCGCCGCCAUGCUGGGUGCGCCGUGCCGCGGGCUGCUGGACUACAAGACGACGAAGUUCGCGCUGACGCGGAACUGGCGGGUCGGGCUGCUGCACCGCCUGCUCCAGCUCGGCGUGCUGGGCUACCUGCUCGGGUGGGUGCUGCUGGUGCGCAAGGGCUACCAGGACACAGACCGAGCCCCCCGCGCCUCUGUCUUCACCAAGCUGAAGGGGGCGGCGGCCGCCGAGGUGAAGGGCGCGGGCCGGCGGCUGUGGGACGCGGCGGACUACGCCCGACCCCCACAGGGAGGGAACGUGCUUUUCCUGGUGACCAACUUCAUCGCUACUGCCGGGCAAGCGCAGGGCACCUGCCCCGAGAGCCCCUCUGUUCCUGCUGGGAUGUGCACAGGAGAUGCAGACUGUACCAUGGGAGAGCCAGUGGUUCAUGGCAAUGGGAUAAAAACUGGGAAAUGUGUCAUGUUCAACACCACACAUUCCACCUGUGAGAUCUAUGGCUGGUGUCCUGUGGAGAACAACACCCUGUCCAGGAAACCUCUUCUGGCUGAGGCAGAGAAUUUCACUCUUUUCAUAAGAAAUACUGUCCACUUCACCAAAUUCAACUUCUCCAGAUGCAAUGUUCUGCAAACCAAUGACCCGUACUAUUUCAAGAGCUGCACAUAUGACCCAUCUCUCAGCCCCUCCUGCCCCAUCUUCCGUGUGCAUGACAUGGUGGAGGCAGCUGGAGAGACCUUUGGAGACCUCGCACUGCUGGGAGGGAGCAUCGGAGUUCGCAUUGAGUGGAACUGUGACCUGGAUCGCCCCGCAACCCACUGCCAGCCUCAGUACUCCUUCAGCCUGCAGGACAGGAGGUACAAUUUCAGAACUGCCUCCUACUACUGGGACUCCCAGCGACGGCUCUACCGGACCCUGCUCAAGCUCUAUGGGAUCCGCUUUGAUAUCUCCGUGCACGGGCAGGCUGGGAAAUUCAGCAUAAUUCCUGCUGCUGUGAGCUUUGGCACUGGCGUUGCAUUCUUUGGUGCUCUCCCUGGUGUCCAGAUCAGGGUGUUAGCUGCCCUUCUGUUGUGCUGCUGGGUCAAGGAUCCUGAGCACUGCUGGGACACAGCUCAUGGAGGGAGAUGUUUGUGUGCCCCUGGAAAGGAGUGUUGCUGGCUGGUUUGUUCCAGCUGUCUCAGCCCGCAGGAGUGAGCACCUCCUCUGUGUGUCUGCCUUGACUAGAGGGAGCCAGUGUCCCGCUCCAGCACAAUCAUGCUGUUGCGGUCAUUGAGGUGAGGCAGCCUCUUGUAGAGCACUUCUGCAGUUCUUCCGUUCCAGCAGAGCCCUGGGGAGCCUAGAUCCCUCUGGCCCCUCUUUCCUCACAGAUGUGCUCAUCCCAGACCAUGUGGCCCUGGCUCUGCUUUCAUGCAUUGCUGUCCAGCUGAUUUCAUCUAACCUCUGCAGUACAUGGGAGCAGGCUGCGUCAGAGACCUGCCUGGGUGGCUUGUGCUGGAGGCAGGUCAUGUUUGCAGGGCUUGGUGGGAGCUGGGGCCUGGUUUUCCUAUAGGAAGUGCUGCUACUAACCAUGCUGCUGUGCUUGUCUUGGCUCCAGGCCACGGUGGUCUGUGACCUGGUUCUGCUCUACCUGGAUGCAAAGGCUGACUUCUAUUGGAAGGAGAAGUUUGAGGAGGCAAACCCCCCCAAAGGUAAGAGUGAAGCUGCAGCUUAGCGCCAGUGGGGACCCUCCACCAGGCACCCUGUGCUCCAGAGCAACCUGGGGUAGAUGUGAUGGGGACAUGGCUGCAGCCCAGGUGCAAGAGGCCCUGGCCUGCACCAGGGAGUGUGUGCUGCUUGGCUGGGGCUCUGCCUGCCCUGGAGCCACAUUUGCAUCAGCAGAAGUUCUUGGCUCCUGAUGUAUGAACCCCACGUGCAGCUCCCAGCCAGGGCUGGAGCGGAGCUGCUGCAGGGACUCAGGCUUGCUGGGAAUCUGGUGGCAAGGCUUGAAGCACUGCACUUCUUCCCAUUCCUCAUGGCUAUGGGCCUGGAGUUCCUGUGAAAACCAGGGACCCAGCAGAAUAAAGCUACUUGGAAAGUG